GUGGCUAAGUGGUGAAGCGCUUGGCUUCCAAACCGAGGGGUCCCGGGUUCGAAUCCUGGC
rnacentral:tRNA from 1 species